rnacentral:rRNA from 1 species
UACAGAGGGUGCAAGCGUUGUUCGGAAUUAUUGGGCGUAAAGCGCGUGUAGGCGGCUUUGCAAGUCGGGUGUGAAAGCCCUCAGCUCAACUGAGGAAGUGCGCCCGAAACUGCAGAGCUUGAGUACCGGAGAGGAUGGCGGAAUUCCCCAAGUAGAGGUGAAAUUCGUAGAUAUGGGGAGGAACACCGGUGGCGAAGGCGGCCAUCUGGACGGUCACUGACGCUGAGACGCGAAAGCAUGGGGAGCGAACAGG